rnacentral:rRNA from 1 species
CUCUCGAAGAGGAGGAGUUUAGGGCGGGAGGGAGGGAGCGAGCGAGCGAGUGGUCACGACGAGGGAGACGGUGGAUGCGAGAAGAACUCGAACAUCGGAACCGGGGGAUCGAAGGAGGUCCCUAGGCGCGAUUUACGUCUCGCUCGAGCGGUUGAGCAUCGCAAAGAGGGCCACUUAGGGAAGGGGGCUCCUUUACCUCCUCUCGAAGCACGGGGAGGCUCCGUAGUUCUUGCUGCAGGCGCCCGCGGAGCGGACGAUGUUCGUCCUGACCUGGCCUCCGAAGUCACGGCCAUAGUCCUAGGAUCGCGGCUGGUGGAUGUAUAAGAAGCGCAGGCGCUAUGGGCACUAUAGGAAGCCCCUCGUUAACCUCUCCUCGUGACUACCCCAGGAGUGGCGCCACGUCUGUAACCGUAGGUGGCGGGACACACCGUAUUAGGUGAGGUAACACCCUCCCGUCGGGGACGACUAGGACCCGCACCGUCUCGGCUGCCAUUAUUACAUGUGUAAGUACAAGUCGAAGCGGUUCCUGUCCCGGCUGGAGCCAGGGUUGGAGAAGGAGCGGACCCGGCCAACCCAGACACACACCUGACGGGAGAACGACAAGAACGACCGCCAUGACCCGCGCACGAGGUAGUAUUUGGCCAAGUGGGCGUAGCGGCCGCUCGACAAGCCCGAGGAGUAGCGCUACGAAAAAUACGUCGUUCGAUAGUUCCCUGAACAACUGCUCAAGGCGUAAGGACUCUCCCUCUUGUAUUUUCGUGAUGUCAUAUAAGGUAGUACCUCCAAACGGUUGCCUUACAAGCGAUAGCACAACAGUAAACCGGAAAACGAGUGGCGCGACGCUUCGUCCUUUCGCGCUAGGACCGCGAUACCUCGUCCAACCGACGCACCGAAGUAGCGGCUGAUGCCGCAAGGUGACUACCACGACCACACCUGUCCUCAAAGAAUGUAUGGUGUACUGUCACACGGCUUUCCCUAGGGCGCCGCGGAGAAGUCGGGAUUAGGUACCAGGGGACCACGUAUACUGUUGACCUGUCAGUAGUUCCUAUACCGGGUUCACGGUCAGUACAUGUAGUAACCACGGAAGUACGGACGUUGUUACUAACGACAGGACAUGAUGAAGCUGGUGUCGCACCGUAGGGUCGAACGAGUCGUCCGUCUCAAGUUAAACUCCUUCGGAGGUAGAAAGGUGAUACUAAACGAAGAGGAUCCGAAGGACUGUAACUACACACCGGAUUAACCAUAGGGAGGUAGGUUACCACAGUAAGGUGUCAGCGGCUACGUAUGUUUCUCGAACCGAUGAGAUUUCGUAGUCUAUGAGGCAUUGGCUGAUCACCGGUGCCGUGCCGUUUCGUACGCGGUCUUGCGCUCGAACUCGGUUGACAUGUUGUUGUACGUCCUACGAAUAGUAGUCUAAGUCUGUGGCGACUAGGUGGUUGUUGUCAGGCAGUUUCCGAAUUUGCUCGACUUCCUGAGGUGACAGGUCAAUCGUAGUUCGUACCCAUUGAAGCUACGUGGCCAACUACUCUGUUAGAAACUGUAUCUUUUUCUCUAACUACUAGACGACGGAUACCUCCAGUUCCUCGUUUCCAACUCGUUGAAAGAUGUCCGACACUACCAACCCCCGACGCACCGUCGGUACGGGAAUGACUUCUUCUAGGGAUGUCGUCACGACACCCCCAUAAAACGCAAGUACCGCUAACUCUCGAACGGACCAUUAGUCAAGACCCUUUCUUAUAACGACGAGAAGUGACGAGGGUCGUCUUCUAUGUUCCACGACCUUCUCAUGGUAUGUUGUAAACAGCUCUGGCACGGUAAGUUCUGCUAUCGGUACAAGUGUGAGAAGGUCUGGUGUAUAGACGAACAAACGAAACCCUAGUGUACCUAGGGUUAUCGACCCCAAGAGAAGGGGGAGUACUAGUACGAGGACCAAGGUCAGUCCGUCAUAUAGGAGGGUUUCGAGAAGUUUCCACGUGUAGAGUUACUGGACCUGCGUCGCCUCAUACUCCUCAGUGGCCGAUAUGGCAAGUUGGAACGACGCGUUCUAUAACUACACCGUGACCCUGCGUGGGUUUCGCGUCUCUAGGAACUGCUGUACCAGUGGUCUUCGGCGCCACUCUAGUUCGCGGACUUAUCAGGCUUCUAGUGGUCGAGUCCACCGUGAGGACAGUGCCUUGACUUUCCGUAGGCGUCAGGAACAUAAAGACUCUUCCGGAUGUCGGGAGCGCAGUGGCUCGACUCCGUACUUGCGUCGGGAGAUCCCCCCGCUCUGUCAGGUGCCUGCCCACUCCGGGCCUGUAGGUUCGACCCACUUCCGAGUUGUGGUUUCACUUCGUUAUUACGACGUAGCGAGUAUCGAUGACCUUCAUUUAAUAUAGCUAUUAAAUUCGUAGUCACGAUCAUAUUCUACAGAUGAAUACGUGCCAUACUACGGUGAUAUACUACCGGUCACAACUUCAUGCUCCGGGGAUAUACUACGGAUGACUACUUCAUACUUUUAUCCGAUUACACAUAGAUAGACAUCGGAGGACUAGAUUCCCUCGUGGCAUACACAUUAGAGACUUACUCAUCUUCUGAUAAUAUCGCAGUUGAAACUUUGAAAAAAGACAGAGUGAAAAGAUGUAAUGGCGUUUAACAAGUAUAAUAAGAAACUAAAAACG